rnacentral:misc_RNA from 1 species
GGAUUAAGUCUUAGUUGUUGUUGUAGUAGUAGUAGUUAGCUGUGCAAAUAGCGAAUUUGCACAUCAACUUCAUCACCCCACUGCCCCCCAAGAAAGGAAACUGAGUUUCUUUCCUAGUUACUAAAGUCAAAGAUAAUUCAAGAUUCCUAUUUUAUGUAACUAGUGUUUCACGGAUCCUAUAUAAACAAAUGUCAGAUGGCUUUCAGAACAGCUUAAGAAAAGCCUGCAUUGGAGGAACAGCAUAAAAUCUAUUACAAGUUAGAACUCCAUAAGGGAUCUGCAACUACCCAAUGACUGCAAAGAUGCAGAAGCUCUUAACCAAAAUCAUUAUUUUUUCUCGUUCCGACAAAGACCAAUAUGAGCCAACAAGUGUCCCCAUCCAACUAUUAUCAUAUGCCAAAGUAUUGGGCAUUUGAAGAUAAGUCAAAUUUCUC